rnacentral:rRNA from 1 species
GGCUACACAUGCAGUCGAGCGGUAACAGGGAUUAGCUUGCUAAUCUGCUGACGAGCGGCGGACGGGUGAGUAAUGUCUGGGAAACUGCCUGAUGGAGGGGGAUAACUACUGGAAACGGUAGCUAAUACCGCAUAACGUCGCAAGACCAAAGAGGGGGACCUUCGGGCCUCUUGCCAUCAGAUGUGCCCAGAUGGGAUUAGCUAGUAGGUGAGGUAAUGGCUCACCUAGGCGACGAUCCCUAGCUGGUCUGAGAGGAUGACCAGCCACACUGGAACUGAGACACGGUCCAGACUCCUACGGGAGGCAGCAGUGGGGAAUAUUGCACAAUGGGCGCAAGCCUGAUGCAGCCAUGCCGCGUGUAUGAAGAAGGCCUUCGGGUUGUAAAGUACUUUCAGCGAGGAGGAAGGCGUUGAGGUUAAUAACCUCAGCGAUUGACGUUACUCGCAGAAGAAGCACCGGCUAACUCCGUGCCAGCAGCCGCGGUAAUACGGAGGGUGCAAGCGUUAAUCGGAAUUACUGGGCGUAAAGCGCACGCAGGCGGUCUGUCAAGUCGGAUGUGAAAUCCCCGGGCUCAACCUGGGAACUGCAUUCGAAACUGGCAGGCUAGAGUCUUGUAGAGGGGGGUAGAAUUCCAGGUGUAGCGGUGAAAUGCGUAGAGAUCUGGAGGAAUACCGGUGGCGAAGGCGGCCCCCUGGACAAAGACUGACGCUCAGGUGCGAAAGCGUGGGGAGCAAACAGGAUUAGAUACCCUGGUAGUCCACGCCGUAAACGAUGUCGACUUGGAGGUUGUUCCCUUGAGGAGUGGCUUCCGGAGCUAACGCGUUAAGUCGACCGCCUGGGGAGUACGGCCGCAAGGUUAAAACUCAAAUGAAUUGACGGGGGCCCGCACAAGCGGUGGAGCAUGUGGUUUAAUUCGAUGCAACGCGAAGAACCUUACCUACUCUUGACAUCCAGAGAACUUAGCAGAGAUGCUUUGGUGCCUUCGGGAACUCUUGAGACAGAGACAGGUGCUGCAUGGCUGUCGUCAGCUCGUGUUGUGAAAUGUUGGGUUAAGUCCCGCAACGAGCGCAACCCUUAUCCUUUGUUGCCAGCGGUUCGGCCGGGAACUCAAAGGAGAACUGCCAGUGAUAAACUGGAGGAAGGUGGGGAUGACGUCAAGUCAUCAUGGCCCUUACGAGUAGGGCUACACACGUGCUACAAUGGCGCAUACAAAGAGAAGCGACCUCGCGAGAGCAAGCGGACCUCAUAAAGUGCGUCGUAGUCCGGAUCGGAGUCUGCAACUCGACUCCGUGAAGUCGGAAUCGCUAGUAAUCGUAGAUCAGAAUGCUACGGUGAAUACGUUCCCGGGCCUUGUACACACCGCCCGUCACACCAUGGGAGUGGGUUGCAAAAGAAGUAGGUAGCUUAACCUUCGGGAGGGCGCUUACCACUUUUGGAUU